GUUGUUCGCCAAAGUCCAAUAAACAAGCACUUUCAUAUUUCAGCCAUUUUGAUUUUUCCCUCGUUUAAAACUAACCGCACAUGUAUUCGUGUAAUCUAUUGGUUGCUAAAUAUAAACUUUGGGUUAGGUGGCGCUGAAGGUAACGUGAUUUUCUAAACCGGAAGUAUAGAAAGAUAACACUUGAAGAAACUGUAACAUGCGAUUUUGGUGGAUUUCGAGGUUUUCAGAAGCUGAAGAAGGUUGUGUAGUUUGGUAUCAGAAUAGAUUGACGUAUUGCUUGUAGGACAUUGACGGCUGAGGAACUUGAAAUUAACUGUAGAGUGCUACCUUUAACAUGUAUGAGUGUGACAAUUUCUAUGACCAUGAAAAUACAAGGAAGAGUAAUUCGGACAAGUUAACAGAUCUGUAUAUCUGAACUAAAAGUACUGAAAUGAUUGCUGAUGCAAACCCUGUUGGUUAGAUUUUCUAUCAAGAGUUUGUCCAAAUAAUACUGGUUAACUUAUGUCAGGUGAUGAAAAACCCUCUGGCACUGAAUAUUCAAAAGGAAAUUUUGCAUCUAAAGAAGAAACAAUGCUAUGUUCUUGCUAAGAUUGGUUUGAACAAUGUAAAAGAUUAUAGAAUAACACACAGAAUAUUAAGACAAAGGAAAAUUUCUUUAUUCCGAAAAGUACAAACAAAUGAAAAAACUGUUACACUGUUUUGUGCCUGGAUAGUGUGAUAUUAGCUAUAUCAUAUUUCAUAGAAAAUAUUGUGGAUGAGAAGUUGUUUGCUGUUGGACAUAUGUACAAUAACAGAACAAGUACAUCCUUUUUGUGAUGUUGGAUGCCAUCUCAUGAUCUGUUAAGAAUGAAAACUGAAGAGGAUGUUCAUGUUGUUCUUGUAGAUAAGAUAAUUGAAGAAGUGUUUGUUAUUCAAACUGAAAAUACAAUUUUUAAAGUUAGUUUGUGUUCCAUAUUUGUUCAAGUGACUGGCGUAUUUUAGAUUGCAUCAUUUGAAUCGCAGUUUGAGACAGUAAAAUAUAAGUCUAAUAUUACAAAAUACAACUUUAAUGUGACAAUUAGUGUUAAUUAUUAUAGGUACAAUCCCUGUGGUAGUGAUUUACGGGUCACUUCUUCAAAUCUGUCUUAUAUAAUAGAUACUAAAAUGAUAUGUUAACUAAAAAGUAUUGAUUUUGGAUACAAAUAAAUUCAGAUUCUUGAA